UACGUAGGUGGCAAGCGUUGUCCGGAUUUAUUGGGUUUAAAGGGUGCGUAGGCGGCUAAAUAAGUCAGUGGUGAAAUACUCGAGCUUAACUUGAGAACGGCCAAUGAUACUGUUUAGCUUGAGUACAAACGAAGUGGGCGGAAUUGAAAGUGUAGCGGUGAAAUGCAUAGAUAUUUUCAAGAACACCGAUAGCGAAGGCAGCUCACUAGGAUGUAACUGACGCUGAAGCACGAAAGUGUGGGGAUCAAACAGG
rnacentral:rRNA from 1 species